CCUACGGGUGGCUGCAGUGAGGAAUAUUGGUCAAUGGCCGGAAGGCUGAACCAGCCAAGUCGCGUGAAGGAAGAAGGAUCUAUGGGUUGUAAACUUCUUUUAUCGGGGAAUAAAGGUAUCCACGUGUGGAUGUUUGCAUGUACCCUAUGAAUAAACAUCGGCUAACUCCGUGCCAGCCGCCGCGGUAAUGCGGAGGAUGCGAGCGUUAUCCGGAUUUAUUGGGUUUAAAGGGUGCGUAGGUUGUUUUUUAAGUCAGCCGGGAAAGUUUGUGGCUCAACCAUACAACUGCCGUUGAAACUGGAAGCCUUGAGUGUGCUUGAGGUAGGCGGAAUGCGUGGUGUAGCGGUGAAAUGCAUAGAUAUCACGCAGAACUCCGAUUGCGAAGGCAGCUUACUAGGCCAUAACUGACACUGAGGCACGAAAGCGUGGGGAUCAAACAGGAUUAGAUACCCGAGUAGUC
rnacentral:rRNA from 1 species